UGUGCAGAACACCAUUGAUCACCUUGCUUUCCGUUUCUAUCGUGUCAUCUCCUUCGGGGUGCCAUACCACUUUGACAGUGCCAUAGCGUAAACGAUCUUCUUCUUCGUCUUCGCUACUGAAAUAUUCUGAAUUUUCUAAAACAAAGCCAUAAUCAUAGCCACCGUCAUCGUUCUUUUUACAAACUUCGUCUUCGACGAAGAGGUCUAACUCUUUUCCAGCCAUUUCCUCUGGAUAUUCUAAUUUAUGGCCAGGAAGCGGUGAUUAGUAUCCGGGUUAAGUUUAUAGUACCGGAGGGGAUUUUACGCACUCCCUGUGCCACCGACGGUGUCAACAAGAAAGAUGGCGUCGAAAUUUGCUCGUUUGAUCUUGUCGACUGUUCGUUCUCCAUUACUGACACCGAAGGGUGCAACACCUAUCAAAACAAUAUCUAAAAGAAAUGUAGUAUGCAGUGAAAGUGGAUCAGUCCUUCCUGAACCUCACGUCGACCGUCUCGGAGUACUCAAAGUGUUGGUGGUUGUCAUGCCGUUCCUGUACAUGGGUGCAACGAUAGGAAAAGAGGGUGCCGCUUUUAUGGAAGAAAAUGACAUCUUUGUUCCAGAUGACGAUGAUGAUGACUAAACCAGAGUGAUGUUUUCCUAUGAAAACCUAUAUCUACACGGCUGUUGAGUACCUGCAUUGAUGAUGAAAUGUUGAAUUUCGAAAUUGAAGAUCAAAUACAAACUACAAACAUUCAAGACUGCAGUUCUAGCCUGAGUGAAGCUAACGGCCUAUAAUUAGAGAAUAUGAAUAAUAUCAAUGUUAUCAAUAUUAAGCAUUUUCAAAAUUUUGAAAAGAGAGACAUAUCAUUUUAUAGUUUGUGUUUGAAGGAACUUUAAGGAUGACAUUCAUGUAGUAUGAAAUUGCUCUAAAAAAUGUACAAUGAACACUAGUACUGCACUUGACUGGAGAAGCAAACUUUGGUACUACGUCUUCCAGGAUUUAGGAUCUUCAUGACAAAAGCAUUUCUCACUUUCAGCUAAUGUUAAACAGUUUUAUAUAGGUUUUCUAACCAAAGUAGUUAUUAUUUAUUGUGAAAUGAUGAAACUUUUCACAUUUCCUUUAGAUGUAUGCUGCAUUUCACACACUAUGUAUUACAUUUUCUUAAUCCUCUUUAAAGACAUUUUACAAAAUUUAUCAAUAUACAUUUCCUCUUUUUUCGUUACAUAAACUAUGUGUAUGAAUGCUGUCUGUUAUUAAAAUUGUCCCUAUUAA